ncrna:unclassified sequences TwoGGAY RNA
CAACAACGCGCAUGCAUGGACGCAUGGGCGAGGUGUUAUGCGCCAUGGACGGCGCAUAAAAGCCGGUUGUGUCAAAAAGCCACAACC